ensembl:lncRNA
UGGAAUUACGGUACCACUCGUGACGCAGAGAGCUUCGACUGAUGCAACUUUAUUCUCUCCUCUUUUAAACCACCGACAAUAUGGCACCGUGAAAACUAUAAAGAUGCACAAACAAAUGCCAUUAUAACAUUUAAGUAAAAAGUGCAGAAAUGUUCACAUUUUACUAUAUAGAAAAUUAUUUGAUGAACUCAAAUCGUGACAUUGACAUAAAUCAAUAGCUUUUAAACAAUUUAUGUUACAGUAUUUAAUAAAAUGAAUUAACGACAACCUUUCUGUCUCUUAAAACAAUCAUUUGCAAUCAUUAAACCAACCUCUUUCUGCUUCCAAGGGUGCUAAUCAUGCUGAACCAGCUAGCCAACCUCCUCCAUGCGCAUCUCUUAGCCACAAAUGACAUGCAUAUACAAAAAACGAAUUCAAGCACAUUGUUUAAACUUUCAAAGCUAUAGCAUGUGACAGGUAAAUAAAAUACAUAGUUUUGCAGUAUUUUCAAAAAAUAAAGGUUUUUACUCACUCUGAAGCAACAUGUUUGUGUCGUUUCACUGAGAACAGAACAGGAAGUCUGACACAAUAAAAGAGGAAGUGCUAAGGUAUUCGAAACUCAAAAUAAAAGAGCAAAAGAGCAAAGUAAAGCCCCCACAAGAGCAUCCAUGUGUCCAUUUUGUCCCACCGAACUGUCCAAAAUGCACUAGCAUGAUGUUGGAAGUUUUCUGACUGAAGCCACCCUAAAGGGAAGGACCACAUUCGUUAACGGCUGCAACAGAAGACAUAAGAAAAAGAUUAUUAUCGUCCACAUUGUUUAAAAAAAGACUUGAGGCUGCAAUGGAUAGACACGGAGAAGGUGCCAUUCAGCUGUAUGUCCUGCAUGUGGGUUCCUGGUUUCAUUUUCAUCUCAUCUACGACCAGACUGACGGACUGGCUGUGAUACUUUAUGGUGACAGAGGGAAGCUUGCUGCGAUAUUCCUGCAGAGGAUGAUGAUGGAGUUCUUCAGGGACUGGAUUCACAGGCCUGAGUGACCAAGACCAUCAGUGACCUGAUGCAGAGAGCAGCUGGGAACCUCUGUGGGGCCUUCAGCAUCCAACAGUGCCUGCACACAUUAAAUGUUGUAGAUGUUGUUUAAAAUUCAAUAAUGAAAUAAUUAAAUGAAAUAAUUAAAUGUUAUCUUUCCUUGUUAUUAUUCCAUACAUUCAUUUUCAUCCUGGACAGAGCCC